GGGAUGCACUGAAAUUCCUGCCUGAUGCUUCCUGACGUUUCCCUGGCUCUCCCUCCCUCAUGGCCGGAGUGGAAAAGCACGUUUAAAUCCCGAACUCGGCUUUCCCACGUGGUGUCUCGCUGAGCUGCUGUCACAGCCACGCCGCGCUCUCACAGGGCACCGGAGCUUCUGCCCUGCCCUGCCGGGAAGGCACAAGCAGGCUCCAACUCUCUCUCCUGCUGAACUUGCCGGGAACAAAAGGCUCCGUUCCCGAUCCAGCCCGCAGUUGCCGUGAGAAACUUCCUCGCCAGCGCUGUCUGUCGCUCCGCUCUCCCUCCCUCGCUCCCUCCCUGCCUCGGGAAAAUGGCAGUGCGAGAGCUUGAUGAAAAGGGGGAAAAAAAAACCUUCUUUCUCAGCGCCUGCCUCUCUGGCAGCAUCCCCCCUCCCCAGUCGUGACGCCUGAACUCAAACUUCUCUAAAAAUACACUUUAGGAGGGCAGAUUUUCACGGGAGGGGAUGUGUUUUUUACACCCCACUGAAAAGAGGCGCCGAGGUGGGGGAAAGGCCGAGGGACAGCUUUUUCCAGACAGGAGAACCUGCUGCUGACCCCUCCCGCACGGCUUCGCCAGGUCCCAAGGAUUUGGAACACAAUAAGUUUUCCUUCAGUGGGAAAAUCCAGGCCCAGAGUUCAGAUCUUUCUCUUUUUGCAGAUUUAAAAGCCUUUUUCCCCCCCCUUUUUUAACUCUUCACAGUGGGGUUCACAGCAGAACGCGGUCGCUCUGCCAACCCACCCGAGAGCUCCCAAAUCUGGUGGGAUCCAGGGAAAACAGAAGCUUGGCUCCGGAUCCAGUGCAGGGGUUUUUGCAAACUCCAGUCCGCGUUUUGAUUUUAUUU